rnacentral:rRNA from 1 species
UACGUAGGGUGCGAGCGUUUAAUCGGAAUUACUGGGCGUAAAGUGUGCGCAGGCGGCCGAGCAAGUCGAGUGUGAAAGCCCCGAGCUUAACUUGGGAACUGCGCUCGAAACUACUUGGCUAGAGUGUGGCAGAGGGAGGUGGAAUUCCACGUGUAGCGGUGAAAUGCGUAGAUAUCUGGAGGAACACCGGUGGCGAAGGCGGCAUCCUGGACCAACACUGACACUGAGGAGCGAAAGCCAGGGGAGCAAACGGG